GCUUGCUCUUAUGACGUUAGCGGCGGACGGGUGAGUAACACGUGGGCAACCUGCCCUGUAGAUCGGGAUAACACCGAGAAAUCGGUGCUAAUACCGGGUAACAUCUGAGAUCACAUGAUCUUAGGUUAAAAGAUGGCUCCGGCUAUCACUACAGGAUGGGCCCGCGGCGCAUUAGCUAGUUGGUAAGGUAAUGGCUUACCAAGGCGACGAUGCGUAGCCGACCUGAGAGGGUGAUCGGCCACACUGGGACUGAGACACGGCCCAGACUCCUACGGGAGGCAGCAGUAGGGAAUCUUCCGCAAUGGACGAAAGUCUGACGGAGCAACGCCGCGUGAGUGAUGAAGGGUUUCGGCUCGUAAAGCUCUGUUGUUAGGGAAGAACAAGUAUCGUUCGAAUAGGGCGGUACCUUGACGGUACCUAACCAGAAAGCCACGGCUAACUACGUGCCAGCAGCCGCGGUAAUACGUAGGUGGCAAGCGUUGUCCGGAAUUAUUGGGCGUAAAGCGCGCGCAGGCGGUCUUUUAAGUCUGAUGUGAAAGCCCCCGGCUCAACCGGGGAGGGUCAUUGGAAACUGGGAGACUUGAGUACAGAAGAGGAGAGUGGAAUUCCACGUGUAGCGGUGAAAUGCGUAGAUAUGUGGAGGAACACCAGUGGCGAAGGCGACUCUCUGGUCUGUAACUGACGCUGAGGCGCGAAAGCGUGGGGAGCAAACAGGAUUAGAUACCCUGGUAGUCCACGCCGUAAACGAUGAGUGCUAGGUGUUAGGGGUUUCGAUGCCCUUAGUGCCGAAGUUAACACAUUAAGCACUCCGCCUGGGGAGUACGACCGCAAGGUUGAAACUCAAAGGAAUUGACGGGGGCCCGCACAAGCAGUGGAGCAUGUGGUUUAAUUCGAAGCAA
rnacentral:rRNA from 2 species